AUUCUGGCUACGAUUCCAAAUCGGCAGCCUUUUUACUUAAACGCCACCUUAUAACUACUAGCUGAACUAAAUUUGUCACGUGACUUGUUCUGUAUUAUCCAGAUAAUGGCGGAACUCGUCUAUGGGAAUGGUUUCACGGGAAUCGGUUACUCGUCCUUAUGUGACAAGAUUUUGAGCUGAAUAAGGGCUCAUUCGAAAGAGGAAGGUUCAAUGCAGGGGGCUCAACUCAUCGUUUGAGUCACAAAACUCUUAUAGUGACCUAAAAUGUGGCUGAACUAUACUUUAGGGGACACAAAAUUAUCCACUUUUUUCUUCUCAAUCUAAUAGUUUUCGAUGCGUAGAAUCCAAAAAUGCAGGUUUUAACUGUCGAAAUGCAGCGGUUUAAAAGUUAUGAGCGUAUAAAGUUUGACACUUUUAGUGCAUUUGCUACGUUACUGCGACGCCAUAUUGGCUUCUUGUCCAAUGAAAGGUGUCGCUAGCAGCAGACAGAACCACGUGGAUGACGACCAUUUUAGCGGGCAAAGUCAAAUGUUUUAGUACAUUUGUUUUGCAGAUGUUACACUUUUUAUCUUUUCAAUUGUUUCGCAGCCUACAGUUCAAAGGAAGAGGCAAUUCCUUGGGCGCAAGAACAAGGAUUAUUACGCACAAGUAAGAUGUGUCCUAAACACCGCAAGCCCAUGAAAUUGUACCAGGAAGCAGAACAUGGACUUGGUCGAUUUCGGUGUCCAGCAUAUCCUGGGCGCCGUAAAUGCAAGCAAUACGCAGCCACGGUAGAUUCAUUUUUUGACGAAAUUCGCUUGCCUUUAGAUAAAGCGAUCACAUUUUUCGUAUGAUUAUACGGCACACGAAUUGACCGAUUUCGCGCUGGGGGAGGAAGCUACCACGACGUCGCCCUCGACAAUAACGGCGUGGUAUCAUUAUUGUCGCGAAAUGAUAACCGACCAAUUCAUAAAAAUUCAAGCGGGUCAACCGAAAUUGGGUGGUAUCUCGGAGUCUGGUUCUUCGAUCGUUGUUCAGAUUGACGAAGCAAAGUUCGGGAAGCGCAAAUACAAUCGCGGUCGUGUAGUGAAAGGACACUGGGUUCUGGGGAUUGUCGACACACGGACAAAUGAUUGCAGGAUGAUAGUUGCCGAAAAUCGUGAAGCUAAUACUUUAAUAUCCAUAAUAAAAGAGCAUGUCGCUAUGGGCAGCGAAAUCCACACCGACAGUUUUAAAAGUUACGCGGGGCUAGCUGCAGAGGGCUUCGCACAUAAAACAGUGAAUCACAGUAUCGAGUUUGUGAGUAAGUGUGAAUUCUAUGUGGA